GCUGAGGAGUGAUGACAGUGAAAGGCCGAAUUGCAGUGCCUGCAAACAGUUUUCUCUCUAAAGGCAUGAUGACAAAUCUCCUGAAGCGACUAUUUUGUCUGACCUCAGC